ensembl:lncRNA
AGCAGCGUGUGGAGAAGAAUCUUGGAGAGACAAGGUUUUAGAAUCCUGACUCUACUCAAGUACUUGCCUAUCAAGAAAUAUCCCUUACAAGCUUGUCAUUGUUUUAGCAAAGGUGCAGCCCCACCUGAGGCUAUCUGACCAGGCAAGCUGUGUACUGGGCAACCGCUGCACACAGUAGGCACCUUAAUUGGCUUGACAACUGUCAGAAAUAUGUUUAGGAUGGCAGGGGAUUUUAUUUCCACUGACUUUUCCAGUGGAAGAAUUAACAAGAGAUAAAUGGUGGCUUGCCUCACAAAUGAAUUCCAUAGGACACACAGAAGCAAAGCCCAGAUAUGGGAGGUUCUAUGCCUUAUAUCUCAGUAUCUUUUAAAUAAGCAUUUUAUUCUUGAAGUGUAGAGAGCACUCGCCUUUCGUCACAGGAGUCACCCAUGUGUAAGCCAUAUUCCUCUACAGAAAUCUCACCACUGUUGAGAUCGCUCCCUGGAAAGAUCACUGUCUUUGUUCUUAGAAUACCACAAAGUGUAAGUAGGCUUCUGGUGCAGGGAUUUUUCUUUUUCCUCCAGCAAAAAGUUCUUGUCAUGUCCAUUUUUAUGAACACCUGAUUCACCAAAUAGGCCUGUGGUUCUCUAAUCUUUAUUGUUGAACAAGUUUUGCUCUGUCCUCUGUCAAGCAUCUAUCAUCCUGCCCUCCAAGAGCUAAUAUCAUAUUGUGUGACAUAGAACACAAGCGUAGUGCUUAGAUUAAUCCCAUUUACAACAUGCAGUGAUGAAAACUAUUCAGAAAAGGAGUGGUUCUGUUUUAAAGAUUACUUUUGGAUUUCAUUUAACUUGAUUACAUUUUUAUUUGAAGUUCAACUUCUGAAGAAAGAAAAAGGCAGCAGGUGGUAGGGCAAAGAAUCCCUGGCCAGGAGUGGGGGGGCUGUUGGUUCCAGGCCUGGCUCCAGCACUAAUGAGCCCACGACUGUGGACACAUCAUUUAAUCUUUCUGGCCCCAGUGCUCUCAUCUGUUAAAUGGACCAGAGAGUUUUCAAGUCCUCUCGCAGCCUAACACACAACUCCAAAUCAUUCACUGUCCACUUCCUUGUUUAUAAUCCUGACUGAAGCAUGGAUUUGCUGGUGGUUUAUUCCUGAAGAGAUUUUGUCAUAAUUUCAUCUGUAUAUGUCAACCUUCCUCUUCCUAAACUCCAAAAUAACUGUUCAAUUUUUCCCAGUACAAAGAGUGAGGCUAGUUGGAGAGAUGAACCUUUCCGCCAUUCUAAUAAAGUUUUUUAAAAUUAUGAAUAUAUAGUCUAAUACAUUUCUUAAUAGUAGAAAGAAUAUGGUGUACCUGACAUAUUAAACUUUUAAGGUUCGAACAGCAGUUCUUAUUAUUUUAUGGUUAUGGGAAUCACGGUAUAGUGCAAGAUUGAGUCUUUACCUUCCAGGGUAAAUCAAUAAUUUUCCCUCAGCUAAAAUUAGGCCAUGGUUUCUCAUUUCUUAUGAAAUUCAUCCAAGUUUACUUAAUUUCUCUCUUGAGGUGGGUUUGAAGUUAGUAUAGUUUUCAUAAAUAAAUUAUCUAUCUUACAUCCCAUAAUUAUUAUUCAUGCCAUAUAUUGCCCUGAAUUUUGUGAGGAUGUUUGGGGUAGGAGGAAACAUACUAUUUGUAAUGAUUAGUAAAGUAAAUAAACAGCAGUUUGUAGCUUGUACCUCUGAAUCAACCCCAUUAGAAAAAGCCAACAUUCUGGACAGGGGUGAAAUGCCACUGAGUAGUAAUUUUUAGUAUUUUUAGUAAGAGUUAAUUGUGGCCAUCAAGCGAUAAGCAGGUGGCAGUGGGAAGCUUAGCUUUCGUCUCACAUAGUAGAAAGACGGGGACUGCACGAGAACUCCAGCUCUCUAGCUCUGUGACUUUAGGCUCAUUCUGUAACCGUUCUGACCCUCGGGUUCUCAUUUGUAAAACAGAGAGCUAGAGACAGAGAAGAUGUCUUUUUUGUUGUUUUUUCACAUGCCUGUGGGUCCUUUCUUGGUGUUUUUGUUGUUGUUUGUUUGAUUUUUAUUGCAAUAGAGAUGAUUUACAAUGUGCUAAUUUCAGUUGUACAGCAAAGUAAAUCAUAUAUACACACACACACACACACACUGCCCUGGUUGCUCAAAUGGUGAAGAAUCUGCCUGCAAUGCAGGAGACCAGGUUUCAAUCCCUGGGUCAGGAAGAUCCCCUGGAGAAGGAAACGGCUACCCACUCCAGUAAUGUCCAUGCCCAUAGGCCCUUCCUAAACAGCUAGAUCCUGAAGCAGUGGGAAUCCUGGCCUCCCACAAAGCUCUCCUGAAUGCAUUCCUGGAAAAUAGGAACAGGGAAGGGGUGAUGGGUCCCAAAGAAGCCAAAAUCCAGCAAGGCAAAUUCCAUGUACCUUAAGGCUCCAGACUAAUCCUCUUUGGCUCAAUGUCCUCCCUUCCAGGUCUGCUGGGGUGGCAACAUCAUCACUGAGCAGAGGCCCUGCCCUCUUGAGACCACCCUUGAAGCUCUCUGUGAAGGCAGCACCAUCCUAAGGUCCUGGGAAGGGGCAUCUUGACCCACCCAAACCAGAAAGGCAGCCUCACCCUUUGAAAUUAAGGAGGAACCAACCCUGCUCCCUGGGGCUGUGGUGGAAUAGUAAUUCUGAUGAUCUCUGAAUCAUUCUUAACUUUUCCUGAAGAACACAACGCAUGCUAUGCUUUACAGUCCUGCCUUACAGAAUGUGAUAAAUUCCACAGCUCUCCUUCAUGACAUCCGGCUUUUUCUGCCCUUGUAAUUCACACUGGUAAUGAAUUUGCUGAGAUCAUCGCAUCUUCUCUUCUCUUCUGAACAGGCCUUCCCAUCUUUUUCAGUAUGGACAGAAUGACGUGAAAGUACAAGUUGCUCAUUUGUGUCUGACUCUUUGCAAACCCAUCCACUAUACAGGCCAUGGAAUUCUCUAGGUCAGAAUACUGGAGUGUGUAGCCUUUCCCUUCUCCAGGGGAUCUUCCCAACCCAGGGACUGACCCCAACUCUCCCACAUUGCAGGCAGAUUCUUAACCAGCUAAGCCACGAGGGAAGACCAAGAAUACCAAAGUGGGAAUACCCUCUUCUCCAGUGGGUUUUCCCGACCCAGGGAUUGAACCAGGGUCUCCUGUAUUACAGGCGGAUUCUUUACCAACUGAGCUAUCAGGGAAGCCUCAC